CAUGCAAGUCGAGCGGUAACAGGGGGUGCUUGCACCCCGCUGACGAGCGGCGGACGGGUGAGUAAUGCAUAGGAAAUUGCCCAGUAGUGGGGGAUAGCCCGGGGAAACCCGGAUUAAUACCGCAUACGUCCUUCGGGAGAAAGCAGGGGAUCUUCGGACCUUGCGCUAUUGGAUGUGCCUAUGUCGGAUUAGCUAGUUGGUGGGGUAAAGGCCUACCAAGGCGACGAUCCGUAGCUGGUCUGAGAGGAUGAUCAGCCACAUCGGGACUGAGACACGGCCCGAACUCCUACGGGAGGCAGCAGUGGGGAAUAUUGGACAAUGGGGGCAACCCUGAUCCAGCCAUGCCGCGUGUGUGAAGAAGGCUUUCGGGUUGUAAAGCACUUUCAGUGAGGAGGAAAACCUUAUGGUUAAUACCCAUGAGGCUUGACGUUACUCACAGAAGAAGCACCGGCUAACUCCGUGCCAGCAGCCGCGGUAAUACGGAGGGUGCAAGCGUUAAUCGGAAUUACUGGGCGUAAAGCGCGCGUAGGUGGUUUGAUAAGCGAGAUGUGAAAGCCCCGGGCUUAACCUGGGAACGGCAU
rnacentral:rRNA from 1 species